AACCCCUGUGAACAUACCUUAAUGUUGCCUCGGCGGAUCAGCCCGCGCCCCGUAAAACGGGACGGCCCGCCAGAGGACCCAAACUCUAAUGUUUCUUAUUGUAACUUCUGAGUAAAACAAACAAAUAAAUCAAAACUUUCAACAACGGAUCUCUUGGUUCUGGCAUCGAUGAAGAACGCAGCAAAAUGCGAUAAGUAAUGUGAAUUGCAGAAUUCAGUGAAUCAUCGAAUCUUUGAACGCACAUUGCGCCCGCUGGUAUUCCGGCGGGCAUGCCUGUUCGAGCGUCAUUUCAACCCUCAAGCCCCCGGGUUUGGUGUUGGGGAUCGGCUCUGCCUUCUGGCGGUGCCGCCCCCGAAAUACAUUGGCGGUCUCGCUGCAGCCUCCAUUGCGUAGUAGCUAACACCUCGCAACUGGAACGCGGCGCGGCCAUGCCGUAAAACCCCAACUUCUGAAUGUUGACCUCGGAUCAGGUAGGAAUACCCGCUGAACUUAAGCAUAUCAAUAAGCGGAGGAA
rnacentral:rRNA from 1 species